rnacentral:rRNA from 1 species
UAAGACGAAGGAUGCAAGCGUUAUCCGGAUUCAUUGGGUUUAAAGGGAGCGUAGGUGGCCUUAUAAGUCAGUGGUGAAAUCUCUGGGCUUAACCCAGAAAUUGCCAUUGAUACUGUAGGGCUUGAGUACAGUUGCUGUGGGCGGAAUAUGACAUGUAGUGGUGAAAUACAUAGAGAUGUCAUAGAACACCGAUUGCGAAGGCAGCUCACAAAACUGUAACUGACACUGAGGCUCGAAAGUGCGGGGAUCAAACAGG